rnacentral:misc_RNA from 1 species
UUAUGCUUUUUUAGCUUUUCAUACCUGAAUAAGCACAAAAUUAGUGCUGUGUAAUAUGGUUAACCAGUCUUAGCAUCACUUCAAUAGAAAUCGAAGGCUGCUAAUUUGAAGAAUGACUUUUGGGGAGAGUAUAAUCUACAAACUCAACUCAACUAAACUUUUAUACCAAAAAUUUAUUGAGGUCGGCUAUAUGGAUUCUAUUUCUCCACUCUAAACGAUUUUG